GCCUAGUGCAAUGGAGAUAGCUCAGUUGGUAGAGCAUGAGACUCUUAAUCACAGGGUCAUGGAUUCAAGCCUCACGUUGGGCA